rnacentral:rRNA from 1 species
GAUGAACGCUGGCGGCGUGCCUAAUACAUGCAAGUCGAGCGAACAGACGAGGAGCUUGCUCCUCUGACGUUAGCGGCGGACGGGUGAGUAACACGUGGAUAACCUACCUAUAAGACUGGGAUAACUUCGGGAAACCGGAGCUAAUACCGGAUAAUAUAUUGAACCGCAUGGUUCAAUAGUGAAAGACGGUUUUGCUGUCACUUAUAGAUGGAUCCGCGCCGCAUUAGCUAGUUGGUAAGGUAACGGCUUACCAAGGCAACGAUGCGUAGCCGACCUGAGAGGGUGAUCGGCCACACUGGAACUGAGACACGGUCCAGACUCCUACGGGAGGCAGCAGUAGGGAAUCUUCCGCAAAGGGCGAAAGCUUGACGGAGCAACGCCGAGUGAGUGAUGAAGGUCUUCGGAUCGUAAAACUCUGUUAUUAGGGAAGAACAAAUGUGUAAGUAACUAUGCACGUCUUGACGGUACCUAAUCAGAAAGCCACGGCUAACUACGUG